rnacentral:lncRNA from 1 species
CGCUGCUUGAAAGUAUAUUGAGAAACUGUUUCCCUGCCCUCCAGUCUCUCGCUAGCUCUCGUGGGGAGGUGGCACGGCUUAAGAAGACGGUGCAAAUAGUGCCCCCCCCACACACGGAGGUUCACCUGCCAGGUCGUGUUGGGGGAGCACCAUUUCCCCCUCAUGAGCGCUGGUUCGAGAACGGAGGCCAGGGAGGAGGCCAUUCAAGCAGCCAUGGCUGUUCUCCUGGGUGAGGAGGAGCUGCAGAGGAGAGAGGAGGAGAGGCUGUCCUCUCAGAUGGAGGUGAAAGAGGAGAGACUGUCCCCUCAGGUACACACAAACACACACUCACAAACAAACAUACACACUCAAUUCAAAUAGCACAAGCACACUCCCGCACACGCACACUCAAAAACACACUCGCACGCGCACGCACAUAUACACGCACACGCACAUA